rnacentral:lncRNA from 1 species
ACGGGGAUGGGAGGGCCUGGGGACCCGAACCCAGUGCACCUGCUGCAGCCUGGCACUAGGGAUUUGAAAAUCCAUGGAGAUGGAAACCUACGCCGAGGUUAGAAGGCCUGGAUCCACUUUGCAGGGUUUUAAAUAUCCUUCAAGCCUCAGUGCCUGGCAGACUGGACUUUGGACUUCCAGCUCCGAUGCUGGAAAAGGAGGUUUUUUUUUUUUUUUUCCCCACUUUGCUCUCUUGCAUGUCGAAGUUGAGAACAAACGGUGGUUUUGAGGGGCACCAUCUAGGGGUACUCGCUGCUCCAAACCUUGGAACCCGAGGUCUAACCUUGGAAAGAGUUGCCGCCUUACCUUCCUUCUCUCCUCGCCUGGACAAGUCCCAGCUGUGUGCUCUACUGCAGGGUCACAGUGCCGCGGUGCCGAGCUUCUUUCGUGGUCCCUGUCGCCGUCAGUUUCUUGAGAUUUCAGACUCUGGGCUUGGAAACCAGUUGACUGCCUUUCUUAGCGAGGUGCCAUUGGAAACCUGUGGAGAAAUUUUUGGAUUAUGAAUGCUCACCGUGCCGAGUCCUCAGAGCUGUAUGACAGGUGAAAGGAACACCUGGAAUGCACAGAGAACCAGUUUCCCUUUGGAAAAUAUUCAUUUGCUUCCACCAGUCCAAACCCAAAGGUACCAUCAGUAUGUGAGGCCUAGAAUGGGGUUCUCUGAUUUCCUGUAGGUUCUCUCUCCCAACAAUGUAUUUGAAAAGCA